UUGUACGCCUGGCUUCUGCCAUCUUGCUGCACCCGGAAGUCCUGUCAGCAGCCAUGUUGAUCUGUGGUGCUGAUGCUGAGUUCUCUCCGUCCUCUGAAGAACGUUGGUUUGUUGUUUGAGAGUUGGACGUCAUCAGAAGAGGAAGAAAGUGUCAGAUCUGCAGAGCAUGCCGAACAGACCACCUUCCCACCAGAUCCAAGAUCAAGAUAAGAACUGAAAUAACACAGGAAGUGUGCAGAGGACACAGGACAGCUCUGAAUUUCUGGCAGGAUCAACAGGUAUUUUUUUUUUCCUUUUAUGAA